GACCGCGUAGCUCAGCUGGCAGAGCAUUGGGCUAGUAUUCCAAAGGUCGUAGGUUUGAUUCCCACCGUGGCCA
rnacentral:tRNA from 1 species